UGUGGGAGCGGGCUUGCCCGCGAUGGCGGUGGAUCCGUCAGAUGUAUCUAACCUGGCCCUCGGCUAUCGCGGGCAAGCCCGCUCCCACA
rnacentral:misc_RNA from 1 species